UGGAAGUAAAAGUCGUAACAAGGUCUCCGUUGGUGAACCAGCGGAGGGAUCAUUACAAAACGAGUGCUUCGGCUCUCCAACCCAUUGUGAACUUACCUAUCGUUCCCUCGGCGGGCUCAGCGCGCGGCCGGCCUCCGGGCCACCGGGCGUCCGCCGGGGACAACCAAACCCGAAUUUUUCGUGUAUAUCUGAGGGGUGAAAGCCCGAAAACAAAAUGAAUCAAAACUUUCAACAACGGAUCUCUUGGCUCUGGCAUCGAUGAAGAACGCAGCGAAAUGCGAUAAGUAAUGUGAAUUGCAGAAUUCAGUGAAUCAUCGAAUCUUUGAACGCACAUUGCGCCCGCCGGCACUCCGGCGGGCAUGCCUGUCCGAGCGUCAUUUCAACCCUCAGGGCCACCCUUUCGGGGGUUCGGCGCCUGGUGCUGGGGAUCAGCGGCCCUCCGGGGCCCCUGUCCCCCAAAUUCAGUGGCGGUCGCGCCGCAGCCUCCCCUGCGUAGUAGCACACCUCGCACCGGAGAGCGGCUCGGCCACGCCGUGAAACCCCCAACUUUCACAAGGUUGACCUCGGAUCAGGUAGGAAUACCCGCUGAACUUAAGCAUAUCA
rnacentral:rRNA from 1 species